AAACUGAAGAGUUUGAUCAUGGCUCAGAUUGAACGCUGGCGGAAUGCUUUACACAUGCAAGUCGAACGGCAGCACGGACUUCGGUCUGGUGGCGAGUGGCGAACGGGUGAGUAACAUAUCGGAACGUAUCCAAUAAUGGGGGAUAACUAAUCGAAAGGUUGGCUAAUACCGCAUACGCCCUACGGGGGAAAGCUAGGGACCUUCGGGCCUGGCGUUAAUGGAGCGGCCGAUAUCUGAUUAGCUAGUUGGUGGGGUAAAGGCCCACCAAGGCGACGAUCAGUAGCUGGUCUGAGAGGACGACCAGCCACACUGGAACUGAGACACGGUCCAGACUCCUACGGGAGGCAGCAGUGGGGAAUUUUGGACAAUGGGCGCAAGCCUGAUCCAGCCAUUCCGCGUG
rnacentral:rRNA from 1 species